GCGAAGGUGGCGGAAUUGGUAGACGCGCUAGCUUCAGGUGUUAGAGUUCUUACGGACGUGGGGGUUCAAGUCCCCCCCCUCGCACCA
rnacentral:tRNA from 1 species